GGCUUGGUGGUUUAGAGGUAUGAUUCCUUCUUAGGGUUGGUUAGUCCGAUCAAACAUAUCUGGAGGAGGUCCCGGGUUCAAUUCCCGGCCAAGCCC